rnacentral:rRNA from 1 species
AGUGGCGGACGGGUGAGUAACGCGUGAGAAUCUGCCUUCAGGAGGGGGACAACAGUUGGAAACGGCUGCUAAUACCCCGUAAGUCUACGGAUAAAACGGUUAAUUCCGCCUGAAGAUGAGCUCGCGUCGGAUUAGCUAGUUGGUGGGGUAAAGGCUUACCAAGGCGACGAUCCGUAGCUGGUCUGAGAGGAUGAUCAGCCACACUGGGACUGAGACACGGCCCAGACUCCUACGGGAGGCAGCAGUGGGGAAUUUUCCGCAAUGGGCGAAAGCCUGACGGAGCAACGCCGCGUGCGGGAGGACGGCCUGUGGGUUGUAAACCGCUUUUCUCAGGGAAGAAGAUCUGACGGUACCUGAGGAAUCAGCAUCGGCUAACUUCGUGCCAGCAGCCGCGGUAAUACGGAGGAUGCAAGCGUUAUCCGGAUUUAUUGGGCGUAAAGCGUCCGCAGGCGGCUAAUCAAGUCUGCUGUUAAAGGCCGAGGCUUAACUUCGGUUGAGCAGUGGAAACUGAUUAGCUAGAGUGCGAUAGGGGUAGAGGGAAUUCCCAGUGUAGCGGUGAAAUGCGUAGAUAUUGGGAAGAACACCAGUGGCGAAGGCGCUCUACUGGGUCGCAACUGACGCUGAGGGACGAAAGCUAGGGGAGCGAAAGGGAUUAGAUACCCC